rnacentral:rRNA from 1 species
UACGUAGGUGACAAGCGUUGUCCGGAUUUACUGGGCGUAAAGAGCGCGCAGGCGGUCGUUCAAGUCGAGUGUGAAAGCCCCCGGCUCAACUGGGGAGGGUCACUCGAUACUGAUCGACUCGAAGGCGGGAGAGGGAAGCGGAAUUCCCGGUGUAGUGGUGAAAUGCGUAGAUAUCGGGAGGAACACCAGUGGCGAAGGCGGCUUCCUGGCCCGUUCUUGACGCUGAGGCGCGAAAGCUAGGGGAGCAAACGGG